UGAGUAAGACAGGCAAUCGCGGACCGUACGCGGUCCGAGGAAAGUCCGAACUCCAUAGAGCGGAAUGCUGGCUAACGGCCAGUGGGGGUGACCUCAAGGAAAGUGCCACAGAAACGGUACCGCCCGCCAGCAAUGACGGGUAAGGGUGAAAUGGCGGGGUAAGAGCCCACCGGCAGCCGGGCGACCGGCUGGCCGGGUAAACCCCAUUCGGAGCAAGACCGAACAGAGGGAGUGGCAGACGCGUCCCCCACGUGUCUGUUCGCAGGUUGCUCGCCUGUUAACCUUCGGGUUGGUCGCUUGAGGCGGCGGGUAACCGCUGUCCCAGAUAGAUGAUUGCCCCCCACGCGCCCGCAAGAGUGCGCGGGGACAGAAUUCGGCUUACGGCUUGCUCGCACC
rnacentral:RNase_P_RNA from 1 species